UCUCUCUUAUAUCAUCGACCACACCCAACCCAUAAUUUAUCAUCACCAACUCCAACCCUUCCUUUUAUUCAUUUCGCACACGCACUCGCACUCGCGUAUUUUGGAAACUGCAGUCACGCGCUCUUGUGGGACCCACACCCACGUGGUCUAUGAGUCUAUGGCAUUUUUUGCUUUUUCCAUUGGUUAAUUCCAGUAUUCUCCGCUGCUUCCUCUAGCUACCACACCCCAUGCUCUUGUGGGUGUGUUUUAUUUUAUUUCUUCUUCUUUUUUUUUUCUUAAUAUAAUUAUUAAUUAUUAUUCUGUGUGCGGUGAUGAAGAGAAAACAACGCCGUUUUCGUAAUGAGAAUGUAGUAGUGUAGUACCGAUUCCAAGUCUAGAAUAGCCGUUUUUCAACGUUGGUUCGUCAACUCUUGCUAGUGCACGGAGACUUGAGCUUCGAUUGCUAAGGAAAUUGACGAAUCUACUGAAGUAGUAUUAUAUUUGAACUUCCCCAGCUGAUACAACCUUUUUGUCUGUAUGUAUCUAUUGAUCUGUCUUGCAAGUUAUGCACAUGAUAAAGCAUGAAUGCAUGACUGUAUCAGCAAUUCAGCGAGGACGAUAUAUAUAAUGCAUUAUUCGUUUUGUUUCUCAUAUAUAGCUAACGUGUGUGUUGCUUUUAUUUUUACUUUCGUAUAUGUUAUAUGUAGGACACAAUAUGGGAUACACCAAUAGGAAUUGCGUUAACUACACAUGGCACUAUUUUGGUGGUCGAAAUUAUUACUUGGACUUUCAUUAAUUUUCUUAUAAAAUUGACUAAAUAGUAUAGUAACCUAGCUCAGUAGCUACUAUUUAAUGAGAUUCGUCAUUAUCAAAUUAUUAAUGAGUUUUGAUAUUUAAACAUCACACAUGUUGAGCUUUGAAGUAUAAUAUUUAUAUAUAUACAUGCUGGAUUCUUA